rnacentral:rRNA from 1 species
CCUACGGGUGGCAGCAGUGGGGAAUAUUGGGCAAUGGAGGCAACUCUGACCCAGCAACGCCGCGUGAGCGAUGAAGGUCUUCGGAUUGUAAAGCUCUUUAAGUGGGGACGAAGAAAGUGACUGUACCCACAGAAUAAGCCUCGGCUAACUACGUGCCAGCAGCCGCGGUAAUACGUAGGAGGCAAGCGUUAUCCGGAAUGACUGGGCGUAAAGGGUGCGUAGGUGGUUUGGCAAGUUGGUAGCGUAAUUCCGGGGCUCAACCUCGGAUCUACUACCAAAACUGUCGGGCUUGAGUGCAGGAGGGGUAAAUGGAAUUCCUAGUGUAGCGGUGGAAUGCAUAGAUAGCACGCAGAACCCCGAUUGCGAAGGCAGCAUGCCGGCUUCCUACUGACGCUGAAGCACGAAAGCGUGGGGAUCGAACAGGAUUAGAUACCCGAGUAGUC